rnacentral:rRNA from 1 species
CGCUAGCUACAGGCUUAACACAUGCAAGUCGAGGGGCAGCAUGGUCUUAGCUUGCUAAGGCCGAUGGCGACCGGCGCACGGGUGAGUAACACGUAUCCAACCUGCCGUCUACUCUUGGACAGCCUUCUGAAAGGAAGAUUAAUACAAGAUGGCAUCAUGAGUCCGCAUGUUCACAUGAUUAAAGGUAUUCCGGUAGACGAUGGGGAUGCGUUCCAUUAGAUAGUAGGCGGGGUAACGGCCCACCUAGUCUUCGAUGGAUAGGGGUUCUGAGAGGAAGGUCCCCCACAUUGGAACUGAGACACGGUCCAAACUCCUACGGGAGGCAGCAGUGAGGAAUAUUGGUCAAUGGGCGAGAGCCUGAACCAGCCAAGUAGCGUGAAGGAUGACUGCCCUAUGGGUUGUAAACUUCUUUUAUAAAGGAAUAAAGUCGGGUAUGGAUACCCGUUUGCAUGUACUUUAUGAAUAAGGAUCGGCUAACUCCGUGCCGGCAGCCGCGGUAAUACGGAGGAUCCGAGCGUUAUCCGGAUUUAUUGGGUUUAAAGGGAGCGUAGAUGGAUGUUUAAGUCAGUUGUGAAAGUUUGCGGCUCAACCGUAAAAUUGCAGUUGAUACUGGAUAUCUUGAGUGCAGUUGAGGCAGGCGGAAUUCGUGGUGUAGCGGUGAAAUGCUUAGAUAUCACGAAGAACUCCGAUUGCGAAGGCAGCCUGCUAAGCUGCAACUGACAUUGAGGCUCGAAAGUGUGGGUAUCAAACAGGAUUAGAUACCCUGGUAGUCCACACGGUAAACGAUGAAUACUCGCUGUUUGCGAUAUACAGCAAGCGGCCAAGCGAAAGCGUUAAGUAUUCCACCUGGGGAGUACGCCGGCAACGGUGAAACUCAAAGGAAUUGACGGGGGCCCGCACAAGCGGAGGAACAUGUGGUUUAAUUCGAUGAUACGCGAGGAACCUUACCCGGGCUUAAAUUGCAGAUGAAUUACGGUGAAAGCCGUAAGCCGCAAGGCAUCUGUGAAGGUGCUGCAUGGUUGUCGUCAGCUCGUGCCGUGAGGUGUCGGCUUAAGUGCCAUAACGAGCGCAACCCUUGUUGUCAGUUACUAACAGGUUCCGCUGAGGACUCUGACAAGACUGCCAUCGUAAGAUGUGAGGAAGGUGGGGAUGACGUCAAAUCAGCACGGCCCUUACGUCCGGGGCUACACACGUGUUACAAUGGGGGGUACAGAGGGCCGCUACCACGCGAGUGGAUGCCAAUCCCCAAAACCUCUCUCAGUUCGGACUGGAGUCUGCAACCCGACUCCACGAAGCUGGAUUCGCUAGUAAUCGCGCAUCAGCCACGGCGCGGUGAAUACGUUCCCGGGCCUUGUACACACCGCCCGUCAAGCCAUGGGAGCCGGGGGUACCUGAAGUGCGUAACCGCGAGGAGCGCCCUAGGGUAAAACUGG